rnacentral:rRNA from 1 species
GAUGAACGCUAGCGGCAGGCUUAACACAUGCAAGUCGAGGGGUAUUGGUUUUUCGGACCAAGAGACCGGCGCACGGGUGCGUAACGCGUAUGCAAUCUACCUUUUGCAGAGGGAUAGCCCCAGAGAAAUUUGGAUUAAUACCUCAUAGUAUAGUACUUUGGCAUCAAGGAACUAUUAAAGUCACAACGGCAAAAGAUGAGCAUGCGUCCCAUUAGCUAGUUGGUAAGGUAACGGCUUACCAAGGCUACGAUGGGUAGGGGUCCUGAGAGGGAGAUCCCCCACACUGGUACUGAGACACGGACCAGACUCCUACGGGAGGCAGCAGUGAGGAAUAUUGGACAAUGGGCGCAAGCCUGAUCCAGCCAUGCCGCGUGCAGGAAUAAGGUCCUAUGGAUU